UGACGAAGCUGCAGUUACAUGAUACGCGGAAAAGAGUGAAGCCUUAUUCACAUCAGUGUGAAAUGUAAAAGACUUUAUAAAAGACCUUUCUUUUCACAGUCAGCAUUCAGCCGAUUCCAACCUUCCAAAGAGGUGUUUUGUACUAAGAAGUUGCAGGAACUUGCAGGAAUUGCAGGAUGAGAUUGUGGAUGCUUACAAUGUGUGUGCUUCUCUCUGCCUGUUACGUUACACAGCAGCUGAAAUGUAACCACUGCAUAGACAUCAGAGAGAUGCCCGACUGCAGCCUUCCUGUGGAGAUCGACUGCAGCCCACCUCACAGCUACUGCCUGAAUAUGACAAUGUACCCCCCUGCCUAUGGCAUCGUCCGACGCUGUGCCACCGCGCGGGACUGCACGUAUAUAAAAAGCAGGCCUGUGCACCUGAUGGACGCAAACUGCUGUAAGACCGAUCUCUGCAACUGAGCUCAGCUGAGCCGAUUGGAGAAGAAGCUUCCUUGCCUGGACCUAGCGAAUCAGUAGCUCAUUCUGCAUUUAGUGGAACCAAUCAUGGAUCGCGAGCUGAAAUAAAGUGGUAUUGCUGGCAGUCUUUGUUAUUUUUGCUAAUUAAUCAUUUUAUUUAAUCCUAGGAUACUGGCACAUAAUGGCCAUGAUAUUGCACAUAAUUAAUUACUUUGAACUUGAGUAAUGACACCUUGAAACUGAAAAUAAAGCUUAUUGCUUUGUAUUUCUUUUAGAUUCAGGGGUGAAAUACGUUUAUAGAAAUCUAUAGAAUAUCCACAGAAUGUCUAUGUACUACCUAUUCCCAGCUGUUGUACUGUAUCAAACCCCAAACUGUAAAGAACUGCAAAGUCCUGUCAUUUUUUGUCAUAAAUAGAUUGCCUGCAAUGAUUUACAAGGUUCACUGAUCAUUAAAAUGCACAAAACGCU